GGGAAUAUGGUCUAGUGGUAUGACGUCGCUUCCGCAAAGCGAAGGUCCGGGGUUCGAUCCCCUGUGUUUCCA